rnacentral:lncRNA from 1 species
UUGAAGUACCUGGAUUUUUCUGCUAGGGGAAAAAAGGACACAUGCACUGAAGUCUUGAUGAUUUUACCACUCUUCCAGAGCAGUUUCAUCUGAAACAAUAUCAGGUCUACUAAGGGCUGGUCUGAAUGUCUACGGAUUUCUUCAGUUCAAGUUUUUAUUGACUGCUGACCGAACUCAGUCUGCAACUGCGCCUUUUAUAGCUGUGCAGUCCGGUAAGAAGAGCUACAUCAACUUCAGUUUUAUGUACUAACUUUCUCGGGUGCUCUCCAA